GACGAACCGAGCGAACGUUGUUCGGAAUAACUGGGCUUAAAGGGCGCGUAGGCGGGCUGCCGCGUCCGGGGUGAAAGCCUCCCGCUCAACGGGAGAACGGCCUCGGAUACGGGCGGCCUCGAGGGGGGUAGGGGCACCUGGAACUGUGGGUGGAGCGGUGAAAUGCGUUGAUAUCCACAGGAACUCCGGUGGCGAAGGCGAGGUGCUGGACCCCAUCUGACGCUGAGGCGCGAAAGCCAGGGGAGCGAACGGG
rnacentral:rRNA from 1 species